GAGCUAGCAGACUCCAGUUUCUCUGGACUCCUCCUUUCUCCUACUCAGCCAGACACACCUGUGGCACAUCAUAAUCAGCAACUCCUGCUUUUCUACCCAGGCUCCUCAUCCAUUUAUUGCCAGAGCGUUUUGCUAUGGUAGUAGGGUUCCCGGCUUCCAUGUCACUUUGUUCUAACAUUCAAGAAUGUCUGGUUCUAACCCUCCCCAACCAGCGUCUGCUCAUUCUUACUGAAUAAACAUUUGAACGUUACAACCGUCGUCGGUUGUUGUGCGUUUGGGGCUCCAACCCUCGGGCCGUAGCAGUACGAUCUGGCCAAGAAUGGACCCAGCCGACCCAGGGGACGUCCCCAGUGGCUCGGCGAGCCGAUGGGUGCAGAUGGCUCAGGGGGGUUCACCGCCUGGGUGUUCCAGUGGAAGGUUACCCACAGAACCUGGGAGAGGUCGACUCAGCCCUCACCCACUUCACUGCCUACCGGGUGACCUUCGAGGCUCGGCUACAACCACCACGCCUACCCCCCCCCGGCGAGUGGACCUCUGCUGCUGGUGCCUCAUGGCUGCCGCGAACCCCACGUUCCUGCUCCUACGCCAUACGAGGACGUUCCCGGAGGGUGCAAUUGGUGCCUCCUGCAGGUUCCUGCAACAACAAGCCGGAUGCCCUGUCUUGGCUACCUUCAGUGGCGGAGAGUACAGAACCGGCUCCCAUCCUACCACCCACCUGCUUCGUGGCUGCCUUGAAGUGGGAGAGCGAGGCCUAUGUGACCCUGGCUCAGGCACGAGGCCUUGGUCACCCAGGCCCAGGCCCAUCUGGGUGACCGGCCCUCCAGGUCGGCUGUUCGUUUCGGAGCAGCAAGACCUUCACCAAGCCCCGGGCAGGGCUGCUUCUUCUGCUGCCUAUCCCCAGCCGCCCCUGGUCCCACACAGCGCUGGAUUUUGUCACCGGCCUUCCCCCAUCCAGAGGCAAGACCUGGAAGGUUCUCGAAGGCAGCCCAUUUCACCCUACCAGGGCUCCCCUCCGCGAGAGAGACCGCGGAGCUCCUGAUGGCCCAGGUCUUACGUAUUCACGACCUCCCUUCUGACAUCGUCACCGACCGGGGUCCCCAGUUCUUCUCCCAGGUGUGGCUCGUAUUCCGCACGACUCUGGGAUCCACGGUUAGUCUCACAUCCGGCAUUCAUCGGCAGACCAACUGGCAAAGAGGGCCAACCAGGAACUGAAUAAUAAAGUAGUGCAUUCGGCAUGUCCAGUAAUUUAGCAUGCCUCGAUGCUGGUGUAUUGAACGCAGGUGAUUCAUUGAAGAAAUGUUGUUGAGGAGUGCGUCAGUGGGGUUGCAAGGCACUAGAAGGUGGUUUAGCCUGUGAGUUGGCCUUUAAAACCUCCAUUGGAUUCGACUCUGUAGUGUACAGAGUACGAAGCCCUGGUGUAGUUUUGUGAAAAGGCAGUAUGGUUUAUUUUGGGGAAAGACGUAUGUGACGUUGCACUGAAAGACUAAGGCCUAUAGGUGGGGUAGGAUCUGAGGCUGUGGCUGCCAACAAAGAAGUGAGAAAAUCCUCCUGUUCAUCACCAGUCGGAUGUAGAGGUGCAGCACGGCCACUUCUUUGUGAUUGAAUCCAUGCCCUUGGCACUGCUCACCAUAGAAUUGGAUAUCUGCAAUUUUGCUCGCCUCCACACCUGUGUUGCUAGCCUUCCAGGUGCAAAGCUCCUCAGUGCAAGCAGGGGUUUGGCUCUCAUCCUUUCGGACAAUUAUCUCCACCUUGUGGAGGAGCCCCCCUAUAUGCGAGCAUGUCAUUGCAAGUGCUAAUAUGAUAAACAACAAUUAGUAUGCAAUUAUUUAUUUUUUUCAACAAUAAAAUUACACUCCAACAACCAAGAUUGCCUAUUUGUCCUGAAUAAUCUGUUUGGACAUCACCAAAAGCUCCUACUGUACCACCAACUAUAUCAGAGACACAUUGAUAAAUUCAUCCUUGUUCGCGUCUUAUAAGGCCGUUCAAACCCUCAACAACUUCUACAAUGUGCACCCAGCUUUUACAGUCACAAUGGUUGGUGGAC
ensembl:lncRNA